rnacentral:lncRNA from 1 species
AAGCCUUUGGUCAUUUUCUAAUUAUGUGAUUAGAUUCUGAUAAGACUAUGACAUCUUGGUUCUUUACAACUAGAGAUGAAAUUUUCUUUAAUUUGCAGGUAGAUAAUAGCAUAGCGUAUAGUGACUAUCUUAAGAUAAAGUUUGAUCUAUGGAAGACAGGUUUUCCAGUUUGGUUGUAUUCCCACUAUUUGAACACUUAGUGUAGCAUGGGCACUGUCCUAAGCACUGCUUCUUGCUCUUCGUUAUGGACCAGCCAAAGUUAGAGAACACUAUAUUACCAGCCCCAUGGUAUAGUAGUACUCUUUCCUACGUCUUGGCAGCACUAGAUGCGUGAGAUCCUCAGUGCCCAUCACUGUAAUCUCUGCAUCAUGCUGUGCCCUGUGCCUGACACCCACAGUGCGGUCAGACCAGUGUUUUAGCCUCGUGCUCUUUGUACCACACUUCUGUGGCUUCUUCCCUUCCUCCUGUUUCCGUCUGCUCGUUGGCAGAUGUCAGAACACACUGGUCACACCCUUACUGUUAGAAGUUUCAGUCGCCAGGCAACCCAACUGUGCUUUUAAAGAUGUUGCAUCUCCAGGUGUUCUGGUGCCAGCCGCCUUUUUCAGUUGUCUUCUAAAUUGGAGACCAUUACUGACCAUUCCUGCCUCAUCUUUAAAUCAAGAGGAAGGAUUGAGGUCAUAGCCCUCUGCCGUCUAGUGAAUAUUUGUACAGAUUAGGACAGAUGAAUAUGGAUGUGUUUUUGUGAGUGAAAGUUUGGUACACUUUCCCUGACAUAAGUGACAUACUUGGGCCAACUGGUUUUCAGUUCUUUGGCAAGUCUCACUUGAGUUCUGUGGGAGUGAUAACCACCUCUUUAUUUUCAUACCUCUGGUAACUGAGCUUUCCGAUCAGAAAACUGAACAAUUCUCAGCUUCCUGUUUCAUAUUCUCCACUGAAGAAGUGGCUGAAGCACUGGGUCAGGGACCAGCUUGGGUUUGGGGGCUAGUGUUCUAGUCUGUCUGUCUGUCUGGCCUUACAGCCUGGGGCUCAGAUAACUGCCUGGAGUGUUCUCUCCCUUGUAAAAUACCCAUCUCAUCCAGACUUGGCUCCCCAAGAGUGUGGUGGCAGAGAUAGACACUAGAUUUCCCCCCCUCCCCCCCCCCCCCCCCCGUUUGAGGAAUGAUAUGUGUGGCUUUUGUUCAGAUGCAUGCAUAUAACAGAAACUUGGAAAACAGGCCCAUAAAGGGAGAAUGAAGAGGUGGGCCAGCCUUGAAGAGUCUGCAGCCUUUGGCUAGGAUGUUCAAAGUAGCGGGCAGAGUUGCUCAGAGCUGUUUCGUUGGGUUUUCUGAUUGAAUCCAUAUCUGCUGACACCUAAUUCAGUUUUGAAUUCAUCCUGUGGGGAUUAUUGUAUGACAGAUGCUGUGUAAAUUAUCCCUGUGGCAUGCUUUGCUCUUCUGGUAUCUCUGAUUUAAAGACUAGUCUAGGCCAAUACAACUAAGAAUGAUCUGGGGAUGAUUCUAGAGGGAAGUGGAAAAGGAUUCAGGCUCCCUCCACUGUGGCAUGCUGCAGAGCAAGGCAUCGGAGAGCAGAUCUUCCAGGCCACCCAGGAUGGACGUAUGCAUCUAAUGGACUGAGCUGGUGAGAACCAUCCAUACCAGGGUGUGGUUUGCUUGUUACCUUGUAAUUUAGGUGGCCCUGAGGGCUGCAUUGUGCAGGUGGUUCUUAAAGAGGUACAAGUCAGAGAGGUUUAUGGUAGAGGCAGAGGUUUCCAUGGUGAGGAUUUUGGUUUUUGUUUAGGUUUGGGGUUUUUGAGACAGAAUGAAUUCAUAACCCUGUUUAUUCUGGAACUUAGUUUAUAGUCAAGGCUCAGAGAUAGUAUAUAGAUAGACCUCAGACUUGGAGAUCCAACCUUCUCUGCUUCUGAAGUGCUGGCAUUUUUUGUACAAGGUGAACAAUAACUUCCUAAUUUGAAUCUUCCACAGAUGUCAAUUUGGACAUGCUAGUUUGCUGACUAGGCUACCAGUUUUUCUGCUGGUAUUUUGCCGUUGUCAGGAAUUAGAUGGCCAUACAUAGCUUUGUUGGGUCUACUUCUAGGUCUUUCCUAUAGACAGACAGACAGACAGACAGAGGGAAGAAUGCCUGUAGCCUAGAAACCAGAGAGGAGAAGGAAGCCCAUCUCCUAAAGCUUGCUGAAGGAAUGCAGGUCCACCGACAGUCUGUCAGGACCUCCAGUAAUAAGCGUGUGCUUGAUCUGCCUGCAGCAAUAGCAGACUACACAAUGCAUGACAUGCUUCUGUAGAAGUGGUUGGUCACUGUGACAGCCCCGGCUAGUUACCUCUCCCUGAGAAGCCAACCUCUCAUAACCACGUGCUCAGAGGUCUGCUUCAAAUCCUGCACCACUACAGCAUAGAGCAUGCUCCUUCAUUUCCUGUUAUGUUGCUCACUGGCCACAUAACAUAACCUGACAUUACUUUAAGAGUGUCCUUUACUGUGUAACUUAAAUAUUCAUUCAUCGCGUGUGUGUGUGUGUGUGUGUGUGUGUGUGUGUGUGUGUGUGUGUGUGUGUAUUCCAAAGUGUGCAUAUGGCAGUCAGAGGACAACCUAUGAAAGUGGGUUACAGGGAUUGAACUCAGACAUCAGACUUGACAGCAAAGUGCCUUUACCUGCUGAGCCAUCUCUCCAGCCCCAAAAAGCCUCUGUUUUGAUUUCCACGUGAGAUCAGGGGCUUAGCACAACUCACUUUUCCCUAGCACAGAGUGAGGACCCAUUAAGUCAUCGUUGAAAGAGGGAAAGGAAGGAAGCAGCAUGCUCUCGUAAGGAUCUUCCCUCUUAAGGGCUUCCUAAGUGAUGUUCCCACUUUACCUGUGUCCUUACAGUAUAGUUCAUAUACUUUAACCCCUAAAAUCUUUCACUAUAAAGAUGAUACUGCUUCAAUUGUGGGCUUCUUCAAACACUGCAGAUUCUCAGCAACACCUUGGUGUUCAUUUGACACAAUAUAUGACC